ACUCUGUCUCAUCUUAGACUCGAAUCAAGAAGCCCUGUGGAUCAUGGACAGAAGCCUCUGCAACCUAAGAUUCUCCAUUGUCCUUUCACAUCGAAGACUUCCUGGAACUCCUAGGCAAUCGCCUGAAAAGUAUCAGCAAGUCAUAUCCAUCUUCAGCCUUGGGCCCAGGAUGUCUGCUGCCUGCUCCCAGAAAAGAAGCCAUGUUGGGCGUACAAACUAAAUACAGAACAUGACCAAAAGGCAAAGGAUGUUUCCAAAAGGGAAACUGCAAACUGAGACAAUAGUUUUGCAGAUCAAUAGGAAGCCUUUAAAGGCCCACUGAUGAGCUGGCCUACAGGGAUGCUAGUCUUCUGUAAGAGGAAGAGAAAACGAAUCAAUACGAUGUGAAACUGAUAUUAAAUGGCUGCGAUUCACCCCCAG
rnacentral:lncRNA from 1 species